rnacentral:rRNA from 1 species
AUACGGAGGGUGCAAGCGUUGUUCGGAAUUAUUGGGCGUAAAGCGCGUGUAGGCGGUUUCUUAAGUCUGAUGUGAAAGCCCCCGGGCUCAAACCUGGGAAGUGCAUUGGAAACUGGGGGACUUGAGUACGGGAGAGGGUAGUGGAAUUCCUAGUGUAGGAGUGAAAUCCGUAGAUAUUAGGAGGAACACCGGUGGCGAAGGCGGCUACCUGGACCGAUACUGACGCUGAGACGCGAAAGCGUGGGGAGC